AAAGAAGAAGAAAAAAUGGGGGUCAGAGAUUAGAUUUGCAGAAAAUUUUCGAGAAUUAAAAAACUUGAGAGCAUACAGGACUGGAGAGCUAAGAAAUCCUGAAAAUAUCAAAAAUAGCAAUAAACCCUGCAUAACAAACUAUUCUAUUCAAGUUUCUCCUGGGAUCCUUGAGGUUUUCAUGUGAUAAAAUAAGCCCUGAAUAGUCAGAAGUUAAAAUAAGUUGAGUGAUGUUAGGUAGUCAAGUAUUUGGGUCAGUUUUUGGUGGGGAUUUUUGAUUGCUCAGAUUAUUUAAUAUUGUUACUAGUUCAAAAUUGUUCUAAAUUGGUUUCCCUUGUUCAUUUCUGGGUUGAUACAUUGCUGCUGGCUUUUGUUUGCUACUGUUGAGUUCUGUUGUUGAUUCCUGCUAUAUAUAUGUUGAUCAACCAUUCCUGUUUCCUUUCAAACUCCAGGUAUAUUCUUGGCUCACGAUAGAGGGCUGAUUGCUGAACAUGUAGUAGAUUUGAAGUUCUAUUAAAUGAAGAAGUUGUUUGAAGCAGGAAUUUUCUUUCUUUUUGUUAUUGUUUCCUAUUCAUAGUUAGAUUUAAAGCAACAAGUGUUAGUUAAAAUCUUUUCCAUCAAAUUUUUGGUGAGCAAAAGAAUUAGAUGUAUUACUUUGCAUCUGUGUUGAUGAGUAGGCUAUGGGCCAUAAUGGUUCAUCUUCAUGUUUGUAUGUUAUCUUUAUUUGGAUUUGAACUUGUUUAAAUGUAAAAACCCAGGACUGUUAAGACUGUUGAAUGGA
rnacentral:lncRNA from 1 species